CCAUGUUCCCUGCAUCUCUGCUGCUGCUGCUGGCAGCUGUAUCCUGUGUCCACUGUCAGGUCGUACUCACACAGGCUGAACAGUCAGUCCAGGGGACUCCUGCAGGAUCCCUCAAACUCACAUGUGCCUGUAGUGGAUUCACUCUAAGCAGCACUAAUAUGCACUGGAUCCGCCAAGCACCUGGAAAAGGACUUGAAUGGAUCAUUUACUAUUAUUCUGACAGUUACAAGAGCAAUGCCCAGGUAGUACAGGGCCGAUUUACUGCAUCAAAGGACAGCAGUAAUUUAUAUCUGCACAUGAGCCAGUUGAAGCCAGAGGACUCUGCAGUGUAUUACUGUGCUAGAGACUCACUAUGGUUAAACUAAUGAGAAUAGCUGUACAAAAACCAUCUGGUAGAGAAAGGAAGGACGUGUACAAACACAUGACAAGGGGAUACAUGAGGAACAAUUCUAAUGAUGUAUCAAAUAAUAACACAAUGAUACACCUGUUAAAUACAUGGUGCUAGUGUUGUUGAUGCACCAACAGGGGGCACUCUCUCUCCAUAUGAUUAAAAUAAAGACCAGUACUGAUGAAGAAUCUGAUAAUUAAUUUUAUUGCAAGAAAAAAGUAUAAUUUGUUGAUUCUAAAUAGUUUAGUUUGUCAAAACAAAAGUAGUGUCUUAAAUAUGUUUCAUCCACAACAAGUAUGAAAUAAUGCUGUAAAUGUAGUGUUUCAUAUUUACCCCCCCCCCCCCAUUCAAAAA